CAGUAGCCGCGGGAAUACGUAGGUGGCAAGCGUUGUCCGGAAUUAUUGGGCGCAAAGGGCUCGCAGGCGGUUUCUUAAGUCUGAUGUGAAAGCCCCCGGCUCAACCGGGGAGGGCCAUUGGAAACUGGGAAACUUGAGUGCAGAAGAGGAGAGUGGAAUUCCACGUGUAGCGGUGAAAUGCGUAGAGAUGUGGAGGAACACCAGUGGCGAAGGCGACUCUCUGGUCUGUAACUGACGCUGAGGAGCGAAAGCGUGGGGAGCGAACAGGAUUAGAUACCCCUGUAGUCCCUGUCUCUUAUAC
rnacentral:rRNA from 1 species